AAGGCCGCGGCCUCGUUCAAGUAACCCAGGAUAGGCUGUGCAGGUCCCGAGGGCCUAUUCUUGGUUACUUGCACAGGGACGCGGGCCUG
ensembl:miRNA